GGGAGAGAGGACUCCCUUCCCAGCUCUUUCUCCCUGCAGCAGCACCUGGGGGGGAGAGACACGUUCAGGGCUGGGCUGGGCUGGGGGAGGGGCGCCUGUUCCGUGGCAGGGCCAGGGCUGGGCUGGGGCUGGGGUGGUGCGGCUGGGGGAAGGGCAUCUCUUCCCGCCGCAGCCCUGAGCGCCCACGCAGCGCUUAAUAGGCCGCUCAGCUUAGAGGGAACUUAGCCCACCAUCCCCUGCAACAAAGAACUUCCCCCUCCAUGAUUUCCAGCUUCCCCUUCCCAUGAAGCCAUUAGUGAUCACUUGACAAGCCGCGUGGAGACCUCUGCGGUGGUGCACCCAUAUCCCAGGCAGCAGCUUAAUAGAGGGCCAAUUGCUUUGUGCCAGGAAGGGGAACCUGCAGCCGGCCUGGGAUCAGCCGGCUAACGGCAGCUGAAACCCCUGCUUGGCUGAACUGGCUGAGUAGCAUUGCCAGGACUGCUCUUAAACCCGGUAGGAGGACUUGGCCCGCGGCUGCUCGAUGCUUAUGUCUUCAGCUGGGCUUGUUCCUCCAUCUGCCAGUCCAGCCCUGCUCAGUUCCUGACUCCGGCUCUGACCACUAGGCCGGACUACCCCACCUCCUGCUCCAUGACUCGUGGCUUAUGUUGCCUGAGCUGUACGCCAAGCCAGGCCCUGCCCCUCCCCUGCUCCAACCAGUUCUUCUCAUUUGUGCCCCUGGCCCCACCUAUCCCUUCCCCUCCAACUCAGCCCCUUUGUCCCUCCUCAGGCGAGCCUCACCCUGCCGUGUGGGGAGGCGAUCUUCCCUUGCGGUGAGUGAUGAACUCGGCCUAAAGAAGCAACAACGUUUGUGCCACCCUCAUAAAAUCAAGAAUAGUAACAACUCGCUCCUAACUAGCACUUUUCACCCGUGGAGCUCAAAGCCUUUUACAGAACAAAUCCGCGUAUGCAGCGGCGUGGUCGCUAGGUUGGUCCCAGGAUGUGAGAGAGACAAAGUGGGGAAGGGGAUCUCUUUUACUGGACCGACUUCUGGUGGGGAGACAAGCUUUUGA
rnacentral:lncRNA from 1 species